rnacentral:rRNA from 1 species
CGCCCAACAGCUAGUCCACCUAGGCUAUUACAACCACCCCCUGUUAAUAACCCCUAAGUACCCCAGUAUUUAAAUUAAACAAACCAUUUUUCCCCCCUAGUAUAGGCGAUAGAAAAGGGACUACGGCGCAAUAGAGAAAGUACCGCAAGGGAAUGCUGAAAGAGAGAUGAAACAGCCCAGCAAAGCCUAAAAAAGCAGAGAUUUAGACUCGUACCUUUUGCAUCAUGAUUUAGCAAGUGUACCCCAAGCAAAGAGUACUUUAGUUUGAUGUCCCGAAACUAGGUGAGCUACUUCAAGACAGCCUAUUAAUAGGGCGUACCCGUCUCUGUGGCAAAAGAGUGGGGAGAGCUUUGAGUAGAGGUGAUAAACCUACCGAACCUAGUUAUAGCUGGUUGUCCAAGAAAUGAAUAGAAGUUCAGCAUCUCGGCUUCUCUUUUCACCCUAGUUUAACCCCUAUUGAUGCAUUAAAGAAACCAAGACAGUUAGUCAAAGGGGGUACAGCCCCUUUGAAUCAAGACACAACUUUACGAGGUGGGUAAAGAUCAUA